GCCUGGCUGGCUCAGUUGGUGGAGCGUGUGACUGUUGAUCUCAGGGUCAUGAGGUUUGAACCCCAUGCUGGGUG
rfam:Mustela putorius furo unplaced genomic scaffold scaffold00218, whole genome shotgun sequence.